UACGGGGGGGGCAAGCGUUGUUCGGAAUUACUGGGCGUAAAGAGCGCGCAGGCGGUCGUUCAAGUCGAGUGUGAAAGCCCCCGGCUCAACUGGGGAGGGUCACUCGAUACUGAUCGACUCGAAGGCAGAAGAGGGAAGCGGAAUUCCCGGUGUAGUGGUGAAAUGCGUAGAUAUCGGGAAGAACACCAGUGGCGAAGGCGGCUUUCUGGUCUGCUCUUGACGCUGAGGCGCGAAAGCUAGGGUAGCAAACGGG
rnacentral:rRNA from 1 species